GUUUUCUUGCUUUGUUGGCUUCCCAGCUCAUUUUCUUGUACUAACAAUAUUUGAGGAUCAUCUGGAUAGAUGGAGAAAAUAAAGAAGCCUAUGGUGCUAGUAAAUUCACUGGAUUGGGGCUGUCCACUCUAGUUAACAACCUUACUGAUGCCCAAGACUAUAUUAUCUUUCAUGAACUUGUAAAAAUUGAUGUGAAGCCAUCAGAUAAAGAUGUGCAUGAAGAAGACAUAGAGAACAGAGGAUUUGAAUACCCACACCUUCCAGCACCACAGAUUAAUGAUUGCUUUCCCAAAUAUACCUGUUCCUGUCCCAGUGGGUACAAUCUAAAGGAAAAUGGCAGAGAGUGUCAAAGGAUCACUGUGACCACUCUGGUAUCAAAAGUCAGUGUUCCUCCAAAGGAGACUUCUCCUGUCUGGGUCAUCCUUCCUCUUUUGCUCUAAGCAAUGGCAGCAGUAGGUGGAUACUUGAGUGGCAGAACUGGCAACACAAGAACAUAAAAGGUGUGAUCUUUGACAAUCCUGUGUACUUGAAAACCAUGGAAGAGGACCUCUUAAUGGACAUGGGUAGACAUGGUGCUUCUGGUGGAUGCACGUGCCCAGUAAUACCGGUCAUAAGCACAGAUGAUGACUCAGCUUGA
rnacentral:lncRNA from 1 species